rnacentral:rRNA from 1 species
UACGAAGGGGGCUAGCGUUGCUCGGAAUCACUGGGCGUAAAGCGCACGUAGGCGGACUCUUAAGUCGGUGGUGAAAUCCUGGAGCUCAACUCCAGAACUGCCUUUGAUACUGAGGAUCUCGAGUCCGGGAGAGGUGAGUGGAACUCCGAGUGUAGAGGUGAAAUUCGUAGAUAUUCGGAAGAACACCAGUGGCGAAGGCGGCUCACUGGCCCGGUACUGACGCUGAGGUGCGAAAGCGUGGGGAGCAAACAGG